CGUCUCUGCCCGCGACAGUGAGCCCUCCGCGGCAGAGGAGCUGCGCGCCUCACUCGCCUCCAGCCUCUCCCUAGUAGCGGCAAAGUUUGAAGGCUUGGAAACAACUUAAAAAAAUUUUUAGGAGGUUGUUGAGCAGUCAUAAAUAUGGAGGAAAGAGAAUGCAAAGGAUGCAUUUUGUAGAAUCUGUCCUCGAAUUUUCCAUCAACUGGAAAUUUGUCAUCAGUGGACACAUUUUCACAGCGGUUUUGACACAGGAAGUAACCUCAGCAGUUUAACCUCAGCAACAAGUGCAACCCUCAAUGAACCACCAUCCUCAUCGCGUUCAGUUCCACUUGCAGAGCCUUGUACCUGCUGUGCCUGGGCACCUGAGAAGGGGAGGUUGUAACAGAGGAGAUACACCAACUGUGCAAGGCAAGAAGUCACCAGCUUUCCCCCUGUCUCUUAAGUAAUGAUGUUCUUUAUCUGUUCUGCAGACUGAAGAGAGGAUAGGGAAUCUCCUGUGUCAUGUAUCCUGUCUGCCUGACUGGUCUGUCCUUGCAACGUUGGGGUGUUUUUCAAGUAGUCCCUCUCUUGGUCAGACUCUUUGAUACUGCUCAAUCUACUUAUCUCCCCCCACACCUCUAUCACUAAGCAGAGGAGUUUCUCUACCUGGGCACUCCUCCCAGAGGUAUCCUCACUGCUGCUGUCCAAUUCUGGUGUAAGAAUAGGGCACAACCUGCAGCUGACACCUGGGCAGGCAAAGUCAUAAGAGGAGAUACAAGUAGGCAAGUCUGUGAAAGUAUAAUAAGAAGUGGUGCUAGGAUGAAUAGGUAAGGACUUGAUAAACUGCAAAACAGAUGAAGAUAAGACCAAGAAGGCCCCAUUGUCUUCUUCAUGUCUUUUUUUUCUCUCCUGCCUUUCUUCCUCCCUUAAAAAAAAAAAAAAAAAUCUUUAUUGGAAAAAGUUCAUAGUGAUGAGGUUCUUGGUACAGUUAAUACCUCUAACAUCAAGACAAAGGUCAGGCUAAGGCCAGGAUGUAAAAGGAUAAAGUUCCUUGAGGUAGUUGACCUGAUUUAAUGGCUUGCUGUUGCCAAAAGGUGAGAUCCCACAUGCUUUGCCAUGUGCAGACUAAACUCCCAUAAACCAGCAUUGUUACUCACAUGCUUUCAGUCUUUUGUGCUGGCUCUGGCAUUUAUCUGACCCUGUGCUGAACCAGUUCAGCUUGCUAAAUAGGCAAAAACCAAAAUCCAUUAACAGUUAUGAGAAGAAGUGAGUGUUUAUUCAACACUAGUUCACAAGAAUAUUAUUUCCAGGAACCACACCAAGAGAAAUUCAAUUUUCAAAUAAAAAAGCUGUACAGGUAAUCUAUACAGUUAUCUUCUGUGAUCAUGUUCCCUCACUAGCCAAAAUCACUCACUUUUCAGAGGUCUGCCUCCAGGUCAUGUGUAAAAAGUAUGUAUAAAAUGUACCUAUAACCUGCCUUGCAGAAGCUGAGUGACAGAAAUUUAAGAACUCAGACUGCAGACACAGAGAGGUGCUAUGCCAAAUGCAACAUUAUACAACAGAUGACACAACAAAGAACAGCAGUUAGAACUGAACUUGGGCAGAUUCAACUCAGAUAUAGGAAAAUGUCUUUUGGGAAGUGUUUCAGCAUCAGAAUAAAUUCUUGCAAAAGGAAAAGGGUUCUCCCUCUCUCGGUGUUUGCAAACCUUGACUCAGAAUCUUUACAGAAUAUGAGUGUUACUAAACCACAAGGGUUUUAUGUCAGUGCAAAGAUUUUGCUAAGCUAUCUAAUAAAAUAUUGCAAACUUAAAAAUGGUUUCUUUUGCCUCACAGCCAAGACAUACUUGGGUAACUUGGGAUGUCAAGUGGGGGAACACACUAAUUCCUGAUACCGCUGCUUACCUGAUGAUUACUUCACAUGGAAGACAAGAAUACCGUAAAAGGUUACCUAAGCAGGGCAAAGCUGCAUUUCGCUAGGGACUGGAUU